GGACUUCGGGGACCCGGCCAUCGUGCUGUUUGCGGCCACGGACUUCGAGGGGCAUGGUGUGGAAGUGAGCGAGGCAUUGCUGGACGUGGAGCUGGCACGACACGGCCCCCGCACGCAGGCUAUCCACGUACUCAGCGGCGUGUGGGUGGCCUACGAGAAGGUGGGCUUCUCCGGCGAGCAGUUUGUGUUGGAGAAGGGCGUGUACCGCAACUGCGACGACUGGGGGGCGGGCAACAGCGCCCUCGCCUCGCUGCAGCCGGUCCUGCAGGUCGGGGAGCACAAUCUACACUUUGUCUCAAAG